UUUUAUAUUUAUAUAUAUAUAUAUAUAGAGAGAGAGAGAGAGAGAGAGAGUCCAGCCGGGAUAUUAUCGAUAGCAUCAAGCAUUUGGUACUAUCAAGUUUUUCGCCGUUAAAUUUAAUCCUUUGACUAUUUUUUACUUGUGAGAUUAUAUAAUUAAACCAAUAACUCACUCAACCUUAGAGGGUCCACAUCAUUCUGACCGUAUAUUUUUUCAUCCAAAAAUCGAAACCUAAACCAAUAACUCACUCAACCUUAGGGGGUCCAUAUCAUUCUAACCGUAUAUUUUUUCAUCCAAAAAUCGAAACCUAAUAACACCAACAGCUUGGUAUUAUUGAUAGAAUUUCAGCCUAUUAUAUAUAUAUAUAUAUACACACACACACACACUCUCUUCUCUAAGGCUGCGUUUGGUUGGAGGGAUAUCUCAGAACAAGGCGGUAUAUCCCUCCAAACACAAUGCAUUUUGGAACAACCGGGUUGUUCCCGGCUUAACGGGUUGUUCCGGGAACAACCCGGUAAGCUUGUUCUCCCUAAAAGGG
rnacentral:lncRNA from 1 species